CAUCUGUGUACGCUUCUCCUUGUCUUUCGACGUGCCACGUCCCACGUACUCUUAGGUGCAUUAUUGCUUCUAACGGAACUGAUGUCACGGGAUAAAUGAGUAUACCCGACCGAUGUUCCACUGUUUAUUACACUCAUCCAGCUGUGAAAGAAGUCGCCCGCCAAUGGAAAGAUUCCUCUUCGAACUGUCGCUUGGUGCUAGCGAAUAACAGACUAUGAGAAACGAGAGAGGAAUCAAUCCGACUAACUAAAUACCCGUAACGAUGUCGUAGAAAAUGUCGCCUCUGUUACAAUCAUGACAGCCACGACACUUCAUGCAGUUCUACACGACAUCUGUAUUUUACAUCAUGUACUAAGUUUCUGGAAGAUGAAGUGUUUUUGAAGAAACCGACACAAUACCAUUUCAAAUUCAUAUAAGGCAGGUUUUCACUAUAGUCUACAGAUUCGAACUGAUAUUGAAUUCGCUCGACAAAGUACACUGUAAA